rnacentral:rRNA from 1 species
UACGUAGGGGGCGAGCGUUGUCCGGAUUUAUUGGGCGUAAAAGGCUUGUAGGUGGCCACGUCAAGUCGGCUGUGAAAUCUCCCGGCUCAACUGGGCGGGUCGGUGGAAACUGGUCACCUGGAGGACGGUAGAGGCGAGUGGAAUUCCCGGUGUAGUGGUGAAAUGCGUAGAGAUCGGGAGGAACACCAGUGGCGAAGGCGGAGCUCGCUGGGCCGGUCCGUGACGCUGAGACGCGAAGGC